rnacentral:tRNA from 5 species
ACGGGUGUAGCUCAGUUGGUAGAGCACCGGUCUCCAAAACCGGGUGUCGGGAGUUCGAGUCUCUCCUCCCGUG